rnacentral:lncRNA from 1 species
AACAGAAAAGCAUGUGACAGUGCUUAUGUGACUCUGCUGGCCUGCAACAGUGUGUAGAAGGAUUUAAGCAAAAUGAAACAGACAGAAAUAUUGAUCCAGACAACUGGAAUUUUCAAGUGUAUUGCAAUGAUAAUGACGACUGGAAAGGAAAGAGAGGAAGGUAACAAAGAAAAGCCAAGAAAACUAUUUGGAGUGAGAGACUAUGGUAAUAUAAAAGGCUAUAAUGUGGUAAAAUCGUGGGGACUUAAUUCCAUCAUAUGGAGGUUACUGAAUGUAUCAGAGACAGCCUGCAGUUCAUCACCACACAAAUUAGGAGCAACGUAAGAAGAGAAAAAGAAAAAGGAAUUACAGAUUAAAAAAUGCAAGAGAAUAUAAACAAAUAAAAAUAUGUUCAACUGGAA